CAGAGGAUGACUGGGGCCGUUGGAAGAUAUUUCUCUUCUCCCUUGGGAAGGAGCCACUAUUCCCAGAAAGCAAACAAGCAGAAUUAAAACAUCCCCUGGACCCUGAGCGGACGGCUGCCCCUGCAGGGGAAGCAGCACCGUGAGGCGCGAUGAGGUCGCAGGGGCCUUGGUCACAGUCUCCACGGGAUGGGGCUGAGCCGUCCCCCGCCCCCCGUCCCCGCGUCCCUCCCCCACCUGCACAGAGGACCCGGCACAGAGAAGAGCCUCCUGCUGGAAGGGCUCUCUCUCAUCCCUGAAACCAAACGCCACCCGAGGUCGCCAUCAAGCCGGUCACGGGACAGAGGGUCGGGACCUGCUACUUCUAGAAAUUCACACUAAAGCUCUGUCUGCCUUGAGAGCAAAGAAAAGCCCCGAAGCCAGCAUGGGAGCACGAAGCUUGCCUCCCUGCCAAGGCCUUCAGACGCCCCAGAGCCACGGCGCUCGAACGGUAAUUAAAGACCAGGCAGACUGAGGCACCCACCCUAGAUGUCGUGAGGAUGAAUGUGUACGAGGGAACUGUUAGCAAGGGCGCGAGGCUGAAAAUUUGCCCAGGAAAAAGGCCAACAAGCAGGCAUUUCUGCCUGAAACACAG